CUCGCUGCGGGGACGCGUGGGGCGCGUUUUGAACGGCGAUGCACGUUGCACGCGCCGCCACGGAGGGCGCCAGAGGCGUGUCAGGGCAGGUCACUCACUUUUGGGGAAGCCAACCAUCAUGUCAUGAGGAUACUCAGGUAGCCUGAGCAGAGGUCCAUGUGGCAAGGAACUGAGAUUCAAGUCCAUAGUCAGCAAGUAUUAAAAACCUGCAAGCAA